UAGGGAAUCUUCGGCAAUGGACGAAAGUCUGACCGAGCAACGCCGCGUGAGUGAAGAAGGUUUUCGGAUCGUAAAACUCUGUUGUUAGAGAAGAACAAGGACGUUAGUAACUGAACGUCCCCUGACGGUAUCUAACCAGAAAGCCACGGCUAACUACGUGCCAGCAGCCGCGGUAAUACGUAGGUGGCAAGCGUUGUCCGGAUUUAUUGGGCGUAAAGCGAGCGCAGGCGGUUUCUUAAGUCUGAUGUGAAAGCCCCCGGCUCAACCGGGGAGGGUCAUUGGAAACUGGGAGACUUGAGUGCAGAAGAGGAGAGUGGAAUUCCAUGUGUAGCGGUGAAAUGCGUAGAUAUAUGGAGGAACACCAGUGGCGAAGGCGGCUCUCUGGACUGUAACAGACGAUGAGGCUCGAAAGCGUGGGGAGCAAACAGG
rnacentral:rRNA from 1 species